rfam:Komagataeibacter nataicola strain RZS01, complete genome.
CCAGACGGUCGGACGGUCGCUGCCACGUGGUCAUACACGUGAUGGAGGAAAGUCCGGGCUCCACGGAAGAACGGUGCCGGCUAACGGCCGGCGGGGGCAACCCCAGGGACAGUGCCACAGAAAACAGACCGCCCUCACGGCGGCGCACGCAGCAAUGCGGGCGACGUUGGGGGCAAGGGUGAAACGGUGCGGUAAGAGCGCACCGCAUGCAUGGUAACAUGGAUGGCAGGGCAAACCCCACCGGGAGCAAGACCGAAUAGGAACGGCGGAUGGGCCGCAAGGCGCCAUCAGGGGUUUUUCCGCCCUGUCGUUCGGGUUGGUCGCGUCAGGUGCGUAGCAAUGCGCAUCGCAGAGGAAUGAUCGUCCCGCCCCGCAGGGGGCGGACAGAACCCGGCUUACAGACCGUCUGGCAUU